ensembl:lncRNA
UUGUUUUGGGUGGCGGUUGGCUGUUCUGGGUGUUUAUUUGUUGUUUUGGGUGGUUGUUGGCUGUUCUGGGUGGAUAUUCAUUGUUUUGGGUGGUUGUUGGCUGUUCUAGGUAAUUAUUAGAUGUUUUGGGUGGCUUUUGGCUGUUCUAUGUGGUUAUUAGAUGUUUUGGGUGGUUGUUAGCUGUUCUAUGUGGUUAUUAGUUGUUUUUGGUGGUUGUUGGUUGUUCUGUGUAGUUAUUAAUUUGGUGGUUAUUAGGUUGUUGAAGGUGGAUGUUUGGUUGUUUUAGGUUGUUGGCUGUUCUAGGUGGUUAUUAGGUUGUUGAAGGUGGUGUUAGGUUGUUGGCUGUUCAGGGUGGUUAUUAGGUUUUUUAUGUGAUUGUUGGAUGUUCUGGGUGGUUAUUAGUUGUUUUGGGUGGUUGUUGGCUGUUCUGGGUGGUUAUUAGGUUAUUGUAGGUGGUUGUUAGGUUGUUUUGGGUGGUUGUUGGCUGUUCUGGGUGGUUAUUAGGUUAUUGUAGGUGGUUGUUAGGUUGUUUUAGGUGGUUGUUGGAUGUUCUGGGUGAUUGGAUGCUCUGGGGGGUUACUAGGAUGCUUUGGGUAGUUACUAAUUUGUCCAUUAUAGUUAAGGUGUUCUAGGUGGUUGCUAUGUUGGUGGUUGUUAGGAUGCUGUGGGUGGUGGGUAGCAUGUUCUAGGUGGUUGUUUGGUUGUUUUAGGUGAUUGUUACCGUGUCCUUUGUGUUUACUAGUUUGUUCAUAGUAGCUGUUAGGUUGUUAAGAUUGCUACAUUGUUCUGGGUGGUUACUGAGUUGUUAGUAGUUGUUGGCAUGGUCUCCGUCACAAGUUUUCAAACUCUGGGU